AGGCUGUCAAGGGGUGGAAGUCCUCACAUCUCUGGCAGGGGCAGCUGUACUCCACUGAAGAAAUCUAAGAGCUGUGCCUUGUGCCUUACUUGAAAUGCUGUGUAUAAAUCUGAAACAUCCCAUAUGCAUCUGACCCUUGUCAAACCAGCUGGAACACAUAAUAAAUUUUCAAGCUGGGGAAAAGGUAUUGAAGUACUACAGAAGCCUGUUAUUCAACUGCAGGUAAACCAAAACAAAACAAGGCCCUAAAACCUAAA